GACUACCGGGGUAUCUAAUCCUGUUUGAUCCCCACACUUUCGUGCAUCAGCGUCAAUAUUAGCUUUGUGAGCUGCCUUCGCAAUCGAUAUUCUGUGUGAUAUCUAUGCAUUUCACCGCUACACCACACAUUCCACCCACAGCAACUAAAUUCAAGCUCGACAGUAUCAACGGCACCCUUCCAGUUAAGCUGAAAUAUUUCACCGCUGACUUAUCAAACCGCCUACGCACCCUUUAAACCCAAUAAAUCCGGAUAACGCUUGCACCCUCCGUAUUACCGCGGCUGCUGGCACGGAGUUAGCCGGUGCUUAUUCGUAUGGUACUCUCAUCGGACUACACGUAGCCCUUAUUGCUCCCAUACAAAAGCAGUUUACAACCCAUAGGGCCGUCUUCCUGCACGCGGCAUGGCUGGAUCAGAUUUCCAUCCAUUGUCCAAUAUUCCUCACUGCAGCCACCCGUAGG
rnacentral:rRNA from 1 species